AUGCUAGCCUCUGGUGUAAUUUCGCCGAGCACUAGUCCGUUUGCCUCCCCAAUCAUUUUAGUUAAAAAAAAGGAUGGCACAUGGCGACUUUGUGUUGAUUACAGACAACUGAACAUGUUGACACUAAAGACUAAAUAUCCUCUGCCCGUGAUAGAUGAAUUGCUCGAUGAAUUAUCAGACGCCUCAUGGUUUUCCAAAUUGGACCUUCAUGCUGGGUAUCAUCAGAUCCGUUUGGCUCCCGGGGAAGAAUACAAGACGGCCUUUCAUACACACAAUGGGCACUAUGAGUUUAAUGUGGUAUCGUUUGGGCUGACGGGAGGGCCAUCUACAUUCCAAGGAGAGAUGAAUGUUACUCUAGCGCCUGUGGACUGUGUCUGUGUAGUCGUAUUCUUUGAUGAUAUACUGGUGUUCAGUGCUACCUUAGAGGAACAUGUGCAGCACCUCAAGCAAGUUUUGCAACUACUCAGGCAACAUCAGUGGAGAGUUAAAGAGUCAAAGUGUGCAUUCGCCCAGCGUAGCAUAUCCUAUCUGGGCUUUGUGGUCAGUGGGAACGGAGUGUCAACAGACCAAACUAAGGUGCAAGCAGUCCUUGAGUGGCCAGUGCCCCAAUCUGUUAAGGAGCUUCAAGGGUUUCUUGGACUUUCAGGGUAUUACAGGAAAUUUGUGCGCAAUUAUGGUGUUAUCAGUCAGCCCUUGACUCAUCUUCUGCGCAAUAAUGUGCCCUUUGUAUGGUCUACAACAACACAGACUGCUUUUGAAGUGUUGAAAAAGGCUCUAACAUCAGCACCUGUACUUGCUUUGCCAGAUUUCAAGGUUCAGUUUGUUGUUGAAACUGAUGCUAGUGACACUGGAGUAGGUGCAGUGUUGUUACAGAAGGGACAUCCAAUAGCAUUUGUCAGUAAGGGACUGGGACCAAAGAAUCGUGGAUUGUCCACUUAUGAGAAGGAAUACAUGGCGAUUUUAUUGGCUGUUGAACAGUAG
rnacentral:rRNA from 1 species